AACGAACGCUGGCGGCAUGCCUAACACAUGCAAGUCGAACGAGACCUUCGGGUCUAGUGGCGCACGGGUGCGUAACGCGUGGGAACCUGCCCUUAGGUUCGGAAUAACUCCCCGACAGGGGUGCUAAUACCGGAUAAUGUCUUCGGACCAAAGAUUUAUCGCCUUUGGAUGGGCCCGCGUUGGAUUAGCUAGUUAGUAGGGUAAAAGCCUACCAAGGCGACGAUCCAUAGCUGGUCUGAGAGGAUGAUCAGCCACACUGGGACUGAGACACGGCCCAGACUCCUACGGGAGGCAGCAGUGGGGAAUAUUGGACAAUGGGCGAAAGCCUGAUCCAGCAAUGCCGCGUGAGUGAUGAAGGCCUUAGGGUUGUAAAGCUCUUUUACCCGGGAUGAUAAUGACAGUACCGGGAGAAUAAGCUCCGGCUAACUCCGUG
rnacentral:rRNA from 1 species